CAGCUAGUUGGUGGGGUAAAGGCCCACCAAGGCGACGAUCAGUAGCUGGUCUGAGAGGACGAUCAGCCACACUGGGACUGAGACACGGCCCAGACUCCUACGGGAGGCAGCAGUGGGGAAUUUUGGACAAUGGGGGCAACCCUGAUCCAGCAAUGCCGCGUGUGUGAAGAAGGCCUUCGGGUUGUAAAGCACUUUUGUCCGGAAAGAAAUCGCACUUACUAAUAUUAGGUGUGGAUGACGGUACCGGAAGAAUAAGGACCGGCUAACUACGUGCCAGCAGCCGCGGUAAUACGUAGGGUCCAAGCGUUAAUCGCAAUUACUGGGCGUAAAGCGUGCGCAGGCG
rnacentral:rRNA from 1 species